AUUUAUAUGAGAGAGAGAGAGAGAGAGAGAGAGAGAGAGAGAGAGAGAGAGAGAGAGAGAGAGAGAGAGAGAGAGAGAGACUUAUUAUAGGCAAGCCUGACAUAUUAACAGCAAAUUGCAGACUGAGGUUUAGAUAGGUAGUGACUAAAACCAAUGAAUCAGGUGACUAAGUAUUAAGAAAACGAUCAUUAAAGUGAAAUAUUGCGGGUUUUUUUGAAGUAUUUGUCUCUGUUGAGUGUUUUACAAGAUAAGAAAAAGAUGAAGUGAAAAAAUACAUGUUGAGAAUUA